UUGUGUUUCAUCUGUGUUUUAUCAACUUCUUUGUCUUCAUAGUUUCCUCUUCAUCCCGGCAACGUUGGUUGUUCCAUACGGUUGGAAGAAAGGUGUUUGUGGGUUUCGCGAUCUAGAACAGAGGCUGGUGAACUAAAGAGGGAGAAUUUGAAAGGCUCUAAGGAAAGCUAUAAUGACGAAAAGAAGAAUUUCAGGUCUCACAGCUGCAACUAUACCAGAUUUGCUUAAAGUUCGUGUUAUUAGAGUAUGGGUUUCUUUUCUUUGGAGGGAGCUAUGUUUUUUGUUCGUCUUUGAUAAAGAGGUUGCUUUAUGGGGACCUGAUCCUCAAACAACUCGGUCCUCCUUAACCACCAGUGUUUCGACUUCAUGUGUGUUUUAAUUCAGCUCCUAGGUAUGUGUAUUUAGGACUUGAUUGUUAUUUUGUUUACUUUGCCUAAACACUUUGAUUUGAAUCAUCUAUUUUCGGUUCAAGUUUCUUAAUUUAGUUCUCUGAGUUUGUUGCCAUUUAAUACUAAAACAUCAUCAUUUUGUUA